AGUAACACAUCGGAACGUAUCCAGUCGUGGGGGAUAGCCCGGCGAAAGCCGGAUUAAUACCGCAUACGACCUGAGGGUGAAAGUGGGGGAUCGCAAGACCUCACGCGAAUGGAGCGGCCGAUGUCCGAUUAGCUAGUUGGUGAGGUAAAGGCUCACCAAGGCGACGAUCGGUAGCUGGUCUGAGAGGAUGAUCAGCCACACUGGGACUGAGACACGGGCCCG
rnacentral:rRNA from 1 species